rnacentral:rRNA from 1 species
UACGGAGGGUGCAAGCGUUAAUCGGAAUUACUGGGCGUAAAGCGCACGUAGGCUGUUCAGUAAGUCAGAGGUGAAAGCCCCCGGCUCAACCGGGGAAUAGCCUUUGAAACUGCAGGACUAGAAUUCGGGAGAGGAUGGCGGAAUUUCAGGUGUAGGGGUGAAAUCCGUAGAUAUCUGAAAGAACAUCAGUGGCGAAGGCGGCCAUCUGGAUCGAUAUUGACGCUGAGGUGCGAAAGCGUGGGGAG